rnacentral:rRNA from 1 species
UACGUAGGGGGCGAGCGUUAUCCGGAAUUACUGGGUGUAAAGGGAGCGUAGACGGCGAGGUAAGCCUGAAGUGGAAGCCCGCGGCCCAACCCCGGGACUGCUUUGGAAACUGCCAUGCUGGAGUGCUGGAGAGGUAAGCGGAAUUCCUAGUGUAGCGGUGAAAUGCGUAGAUAUUAGGAGGAACACCAGUGGCGAAGGCGGCUUACUGGACAGUAACUGACGUUGAGGCUCGAAAGCGUGGGGAGCAAACAGG